rnacentral:rRNA from 1 species
GCAAGUCGAGCGGUAACAGGAGAAGCUUGCUUUCUUGCUGACGAGCGGCGGACGGGAGAGUAGUGUAUGGGGAUCUGCCCGAUAGAGGGGGAUAUCUACUGGAAACGGGGGAUAAUACCGUAUAAUGUCUACAGACCAAAGCGGGGGCUCUUCGGACCUUGCUCUAUCAGAUGAACCCAUAUGGGAUUAUAUAAUAGGUGGGGAAGGGGCUCCCCUACGAGACUAUCUCUAUGUGGUCUGAGAGGAUGAUCACCCACUGUGGGACUGACACACGCCCCACACUCCUACGGGAGGCAACAGUGGGGAAUAUUGCACAAUGGGCGCAACUCUGAUGCACCCAUGCCGCGUGUAUGAAAAAGGCCUUAGGGGUGAAAAGCACUUUCAGCGGAGAAGAAGGUGAUAAGGAUAAUACCCUUAUCUAUUGACGAUACCCACAAAAAAAACACCGUAUAACUCCGUGCCAACACCCGCGAAUAUACGAGGGGUGCAAGCGUUUCUCGAAAACACUGGGCAAAAGCGCACGCACGCGGGAUUUAA